rnacentral:rRNA from 1 species
GACGAACGCUGGCGGCGUGCUUAACACAUGCAAGUCGAACGGGCCUGUCUUCUUUUUUGGGGGGUGGGUUGAGUGGCGAACGGGUGAGUAUCACGUGAGUAACCUGCCCUUCGGUCCUGGAUAACCGCUUGAAAGGGCGGCUAAUACGGGGUGGUCCGGUUGGUCCGCAUGGGCUGGUCGGGAUAGAUUCACUGUUUUUGGUGUUUCGGCGGGGGAUGGGCUCGCGGCCUACCAGCUUGUUGGUGGGGUGAUGGCCUACCAAGGCGGUGACGGGUAGCCGGCCUGAGAGGGUGGGCGGCCACACUGGGACUGAGAUACGGCCCAGACUCCUGCGGGAGGCAGCAGUGGGGGGUAUUGCACAAUGGGCGGAAGCCUGAUGCAGCGACGUCGCGUGAGGGAUGGAGGCCUUCGGGUUGUGAACCUCUGUUUCCGGUGGUGAAGGCCCUGUCCGUGUGGUGGGGUUGACGGUAGCCGGGGAUGAAGCGCCGGCUAACUACGUG